CAUAUUUAUCUUUACAUAUUAUCUUCACGCCGACCAUUGACGAUUAUUAAAAACAACAGAAUAUAUCAUAGUUGGUUGAGUAAAAUGACUUUGAAAAAUUUCUAACAUAAGCCAUUCUUCGAGACACCCAUUAAAUUGUUUUGUUUCCCGCGGAAUGUAACUUUGCACGAAUCGAAGAAGAAUGUUGUUUCCAUUGGUCGAUGUCUGAAGUCCGAACGGGCGACCUUUUCAAACCAAGUAUUCUUAUGCUCAUUGUAACGGUCCCGAAGCAAUGCAGUUUACGUGGAUGUGCAUCGUAUCGCGUUGUUUCCCAUCGCGUACGUGUCCGUUUCUCCUCGAUAUUUCAUGGGUCGCGGACACGUUAUUCCCAACGCUUCUUAUUCCCGUGCAGUGGCGGGCCUAAGCGAAAUAUCUUUCGUACAAGACGCGUGUUAAAUUAAUGAAGGUUUCUAGUAUAGAACUUCCAAGAGCUUUAGUAAUGCAGGAAAUAAUGUAGGAAAGGAAUAAUUGAAUAUGUUAAAAUAUGUUUGUUGCAGAAAAUAAAAAAGAAAGGAUAGGAAAAAACAAGCAGUUUUGGAUCACGGUUCUCACGCAACUCCCGAACCGAACCGAACCGAACCGAACCGAUUCAAAACAACGCAACACAAUUUUCGUCUUCUUCCUGUUCGCCGCUGUCAGCUUUCGAUUCUCUUAAAUCGAUAACUUAUUUUUUACUAAGUUUUGUUCGAUGGCAAUAUAAAUAUCGUGUAAAAUAUGCUAAAAUGACAAUCAUUAUUCAAGAAGCAAGUAAGCGAGGAUUGGGUUUGAAUCUCAAUCGUAAUUAUACGUUUUUGAUAAACAGAACAGCCGAAAUCAUGUCAAUCACGAACAUGUUAGGUCUACCGGAAAGUUCUGUCCGUUCCGGUUACGGCAAGUUUCAACAAGCAUGCGCGUAUUCGUUAAAAAUAAUAUACAAAUUGCAAUCACCCUGUCAACAUGUCAUAAAUAAUGAUAAAAAUUGUAUUAUUUAAUAAAAUUUAUUCAAGGUAUGAGAAAUUUAUUAUUUUGUUCUAUUUUAAAAACGGACAGAACUUUCCGGUAGAUCUAAUAUUUUUUUCGGGAGGGACUGUACAAUAUCAUUUGUACGUUCAAUUUUGAUUACUUUUAUCUGCAAAAAUAUCAUAUAUGUUCUUAAAAUGUAAAUAAAUAUAUCUGGGUGCAAAACUCUUUAUAAACAUUCCUUAUAGAUUAAAAAAAAAAAUCCUCAGAAAGAACUAAAAAUUGACGCUGUAGAUUAAAAUACUCCUUUAAACAAAAAAAAAAAAAUUAUAAUACAAUUGCGUAAGCCCCUAAGCGCCGCCUAUGUCGCCUCUACAUGGCCGCCACUGUUCACGUGUAACGCGGAUACGCUCAUCUUUCUGUCCGUACUCAACAUUUAUGCGCACUUUAAUCUUACGACCAGAGAUAUAUUCCCAUUACCGCGGUGGAGUGCGCAGAACAUAACUUUGGUUUCCGCGUAGGGAUUCCGCGAGAUAAAAUUUCGGAAAAAAUCUAGAUACAACUUUACCGUGCCCGUGUAAUUUAUUUGCCUUUACAUUCGCGCAACUUGAUUCCGAUUCUUUUCGUUGCGUUGAGAAGGUCGUUUGGUACCACUUUCGUUCUAUCUUCUCCAACGAAGAAAACAUUAAAUAAAAUCUUCGUUUUCUCGUAUUUCACGUGCAAAUUCAUCGAGCCAUUAUUAUUGUAAUUUUGUUCUACUUCUAUUUAUUUCGCGUUGUAGAUUACGCGGGAUGAAGUAACUUUCGAUACGGUACUUUCACUUUUCUUUGUCUUAACCUCAAAGGUUUUCGAU